GCUAAGUGGGGUGCGGCAGCGUGGGGAAAAUAGAGGGGCCCAGCGUUGUUCGGAUUCGCUGGGCGUGAAGGGUGGGUAGGUGGCGUGAUAAGUCUGACGGGAAAUCUCCGGGGUUAACCCGGAAAUGGCGAUGGGAACUGGCUUGCUCGUGGAUUGGAGGGGGGACUGGAAUACGUGGUGUAGCAGUGAAAUGCGUAGAUAUCAAGUGGAACACCAGUGGCGAAGGCGAGUCCCUGGACAACUCCUGACACUGAGGCACGAAAGCUAGGGGAGCAAACGGGAUUAGAUACCCCAGUAGUC
rnacentral:rRNA from 1 species